rnacentral:lncRNA from 1 species
UUGAAAUGAAAGAUUAUUAUUUCUGAUAUUAGAUAAAAUUAGUAUAUUUUGAGCGGUCUUUUGAGAGUGUAGGAUUACAUAUUAUUGUUAUUAAUUGAUAAACGAGUAUUAUUAGUGGGAGAAAGUAUUAUAGUAUUCUUUGGUAUUUUUUAUGGUUUGAAAUAUGAUUAAUUGUAUGACUGUAGAAUAAGUAGUUAUUUUCAAAAUGUAGAUAUCUAGUGUAUAGUGUAAAUAGGGAUAGAUGACUGCUGAAAAGAUGGUUCAGUAAGUAGAAUGGAUGAAUAAUCAGGAAAAGUAGUUAUCAUCUGUAGUAUAGGAGUUGAUAUCUCGGGGUAUUAUAAGGAGGAUGGGAGGGAGGAAGAAAAUGCCAGACUGUGAUAGUAUUGAGCCGAGAUAAGCUUGGUGCUAUCUCUUCUUCUUAGAUUUGUUGUUUCUUUUGUAUUAGUAUUGAUUCUAGUAAAGAGAAUUGAUUUAAUGAAUCAAUGUUUGAUUUACAAAGUUGUUUAUGGAUCAUUGUUUAUCAAUUGUUGUGAAAGAUUGAUGAUG